rnacentral:rRNA from 2 species
GGGGAAGUGCGGCGUGCCUAUACUGCAAGUCGAACGAGUUCUCGUUGAUGAUCGGUGCUUGCACCGAGAUUCAACAUCGUUUUAGUGGCGGACGGGUGAGUAACACGGGGCGUAACCUGCCCCUUAGUGGGGGAUAACAUUUGGAAACAGAUGCUAAUACCGCAUAGAUCCAAGAACCGCAUGGUUCUUGGCUGAAAGAUGGCGUAAGCUAUCGCUUUUGGAUGGACCCGCGGCGUAUUAGCUAGUUGGUGAGGUAACGGCUCACCAAGGCGAUGAUACGUAGCCGAACUGAGAGGUUGAUCGGCCACCUUGCGACUGAGACACGGCCCAAACUCCUACGGGAGGCAGCAGUAGGGAAUCUUCCACAAUGGACGCGAGUCUGAUGGAGCAACGCCGCGUGAGUGAAGAAGGCUUUCGGGUCGUAAAACUCUGUUGUUGGAGAAGAAUGGUCGGCAGAGUAACUGUUGUCGGCGUGACGGUAUCCAACCAGAAAGCCACGGCUAACUACGUGCCAGCAGCCGCGGUAAUACGUAGGUGGCAAGCGUUAUCCGGAUUUAUUGGGCGUAAAGCGAGCGCAGGCGGUUUUUUAAGUCUGAUGUGAAAGCCCUCGGCUUAACCGAGGAAGCGCAUCGGAAACUGGGAAACUUGAGUGCAGAAGAGGACAGUGGAACUCCAUGUGUAGCGGAGAAACGCGUAGAUAUAUGGAAGAACACCAGUGGCGAAGGCGGCUGUCUGGUCUGUAACUGACGCUGAGGCUCGAAAGCAUGGGUAGCGAACAGGAUUAGAUACCCUGGUAGU